ensembl:lncRNA
AAAAAAAUCAACCAAAAUCCAGCAGAUUUCGUUGGAUUUUGGUUGAUUUUUAUGUGAAUGUCCAAGAUGAUUCAAAAAUGAUGUGUCCAAAUUUAUCCAGAAUUACAGAAAAUUUUCCAGAAAUGAUAUAAAAUGACGAAAAUUUGUUCAGAAUGACAUGAGCAUAUUCUAAAAUGACUGGAAAAUGAUCCAAAAUCAGUCAGAAUUUCUCUCAAAUGAUUAAAAAUUAUCCAGAAUGACUGAAAAAUUGCAGAAUCACGCUAAAUUUGUCCAAGAUGCUUCAAAAAUGAUCCGGAAUGAUUCAAAAUGUGUCCAAAAUGAAUUGAAAAUGAUCCAGAAUUGCAGAAAAUUUGUCCAGAAAUGGUCUCAAAUGACAAAAAUAUGUUCAGAAUGACAUGAAAAUAAUGUAAAAUGACUGGAAAAUGAUCCAAAAUCAGUCAGAAUUCUCUCAAAUUAUCAAAAAUGACUGAAAACUUGCAGAAUGAAAGUUUUAUUUAAAAAAAAAAAAAAAAAAUCCCCCAAAUUUGGCAAGAAAAAGAAACCUUUAAGGCAUUAUUGGAAUGUUCUUCCUGAAGGUUUUGCAAAUUUUCAGAAAUUUGGGGAAUUUUUUUGCAGAAUUUGGGGAUUUUUUUCAGGUAAAGAAACCGUAUUUUUUGGUGCCCGUAAAUGAGGACAACAGGAGGGUUAAAGUAACCUUUUGGGGGGUAAAAAGGUAAAAAAAAUACCACAAAAUGUCCUGUGUUUUUAUCUGCAGGUCGGGGGGAAAAUGUCGACACGGUGUGUUGUGUGUAUUUGUCUGGCACUGACUGUAACCACGCAAGCUGCAGUUUAUAAGUAGUUGUGUGUUUCACCGCUCCGCCUCGGCUCAUUCUGUUUAAAUAUACCUCACCAGUUGGAAACAGACUGCGGCGUUUUAACAACUCAUCACCUCCGAGGCCUUAAACCUCUGCAGUGUUUCCCUCCAGCAGCCGUCCUCCGUGCUUCACCCUCCAGCAUGUGCACUUUCCUCUCCGUUUAAAGGGAUGAGACGAAUAAAAACGACAGAUAUUCUCCAGAAUAGACAGAGCUGAGUGAGAAAUGGCAAUUUAUGUUAUCUACCCACCCUCCGUCCUGCUGCCAAAGACCCUCAGGGGCUUCAAAAACCGGAUUCCAGAAAUGCUGAGGUUGUAAAUUUACACCCAAAAGAAACCCACAGACCCGCCACCAACAAAACUCUGCAUAAAAAUCUGAUAAUUUAAAGAAAAUCACAUCAUAUUCAACUACUAGGCCAAUUAAUGUAGUGGAGAAUAGUAAAUUCACGCCCCAACAAAACCCUACCCGCCUGCCACCAACCAAACUCUGCACAUUUUUCUGGUAAUUUCAGGUAAAAUUGCAUUUAAUUAUUCAACAUCUGAGCAGAUUUGAUCUUUCUGCAUUACUGCAUAUACUAACAGAUGUUUUAUUCCAGUGAAAAAUACUGAAAACCACCAACUAAACUGUACAUUUCUCUGAUAAUUUAAAGGAAAUCACAUUCUAUUUAACUAUUAGGUAAAUUAUGUCAUGGAGAAUAUUAAAUUACCUUUUAAAAGCCUUUAAAAACUCCAUGAUUUCAUUUGUUUGACCAUCCACCAACCAAACUCUGUACAAAUUUUACAUUAUUUUCAAUCACCUGGUGAAAUAAUGUAAUUGAGAAAGCUAAAUUCUUCUUGAAAUCCCUUAAUAACUGGACGACAUUUCUGAGAAUUUAAGGAAAACUAUAUUAACAAAGAGAAAAAAAAAGCUCAACUUCUACUGAGAGGAAACAAAAAAACUUCACACAUUUGCGUCAGUAUUAUCGCAAAAUGCUGUUUUUGUGCGACAGGAGUUCAUCAUAAAUGCAUAACAAAAGAAAACCACAGAAACCACAGAUGACAACCGAUUUAUUUAGCUAAAAAAUGUGUAUAUAAUGCCCUUUAUGCCAUUACUAACCUUCCAAAUUCCCAGAAAUCUCACUGAAUCUCCAGUUUGUUGAGUUGACAGGACACAGUGGUGGUUUGCGUGGUUAAAUUCUCAAAAACUGGAUCCAGGUUCUUGUUAGAUGUUGCUGUUGCGUAGAAGAGGCUCCGCUGCUCUUCCUGAAUGCCACGCCAAGGGAAUAAAGCGACCCACAGCCAGUUAUUUUCCAUCAUCUCGCUCCCCGUCAGCUCGUUAGCUCGUUAAUCCUCCAGGUUCUGCUGAAGCUCCACCUUUAAGUGGGUCUCCUGGGGUCCCCCUUGUAUAUGAAAAUAAAGGACAUAGCGUUUAUCCUAAUAUUACUCUGUGACACUGCAGCUUGGUGGAAUAUAUCAUUGUAGACGUGGUGCAUGGGUAACUGCUGAAAAACGAAACAAUAAAACUUCAUCAAGCCAUUUGUGUCAGUGAGCUGGGUAAAUCUAACCAAGGCGAGGAACCGAGCAAAGAUUCUAGAGUCCGUAUGAGAUGUUUUACUCUUUCACGACAAGUCUAGUGUAGGGCUUUAACGCAGCCACUUUUAUUUAUCAUUAUAUCUCACUGUGUGUUGACUUUAUGCUGCACUGAAAUUAAAACUGAUCUGCAAACGUCACACUGAAUAAUGAUUUAUUUUCCUGCCUUGAGCCCAGCAAGACUAUAUACAAGUCAUGUGGAGUGUUUCUGAAACCUGGAGAAGAAUUAAUCUGAAAUUUCCCUCUGGAUUAAUAAAGUAUCCGUCC